GUUGAUGUCAAUAAUUGAUUCAGGACAGUCUGAUCAUCUAAUGGGAUAAAAGUGGUCCCAUUGCUAGUCAAUUGGCACAGAGACCAUCAGAUUGCAAAUCAAACCCAAAUCAGGCUCAUCUGAGGGUCCUGUCAAACACCCAACACUCCAAAUUGCAUAUCUAGACCAUGGCAAGGGCUCAGAUUAAUCUGAUGGAAGAUCAAUACCAUAUUAACAGCCCUGUUAGAUACCCAAGAUGAGAUAGACAUGCUUAAAUAAAAUGAAAUUGGUCCUGUUUGCAAGCCGAUGAAGUUAGCUUUGAAAAGGGCUGGAGAUCCGUUUGUAAAUCUCCGUCUCUUGAUAAGCACUCUACACAUAGCCACAUGGGCCAACCUAGCAGCCAUAGACAUUCAUGUGGGACCCAGGGCAUUGAUGGAUCCAAAACUAGGCUGGUGUGCCCUGCAAAUGAGUGUCCUAGAUCUUGGUUGUCAAUCACCACAUAACAACAAUUACUUGUCCACACACCAUCCAGCGAGAACGUGACAAUCAGAACUCAGGCUAUGGCCGUCAACCAGUCAACAGAGAAGAGAGGGGAAAUCUUCUGCAAAUUCUGCAGCGAUUUCAAGGGAUGGAAAUGUGGUAGCCCAGAGGGGGGCUUUGCUGCUUCAUAUGGGGAUCGAUAUGGACUUCAUUCGGGUGCUGCUGACAAAGGUCCUCUAUAUGGCAUGGGUUCUGGUUCUUGGGGUGCAUUUGAGAAGUCUGGCCUCAGGCGUCGCUGAAAUCCGUUGUUUUUUUUUUCUCCCACUUUUCCUUGAGUCUCAAUCUGUAAAUUUUCUGUCCAUUAUGUAACCUUUCAUUCUCAGGAUGCUUGUAAAUGGGGCUGGUUGUAAAUGAUUUACAGGUUGUGUUUGAAUUCUAAUUUAAGCCCGUAAAGGUCUUCUGAUCUAGAAGAUUCAGCCUAGCAGAAUUUUUAAUUGUUUCUUCCUCUU